GACGAACGCUGGCGGCGUGCUUAACACAUGCAAGUCGAACGGAAAGGCCCUGCUUUUGUGGGGUGCUCGAGUGGCGAACGGGUGAGUAACACGUGAGUAACCUGCCCUUGACUUUGGGAUAACUUCAGGAAACUGGGUCUAAUACCGGAUAGGAGCUCCUGCUGCAUGGUGGGGGUUGGAAAGUUUCGGCGGUUGGGGAUGGACUCGCGGCUUAUCAGCUUGUUGGUGGGGUAGUGGCUUACCAAGGCUUUGACGGGUAGCCGGCCUGAGAGGGUGACCGGCGACGAUGGUGGUGAAGCGCAGACCACGCGGGGGGGGGGGGCGGCAGCGGGGAGUAAUGAGUGGGGGGGGGGGGCGUGAGGCGGGAGCGCCGGGGGGUGGAUGUCGGCGUGCGGGUGGGACGCCGCUGCCGCGUGGGAAGAGGCGUGAGAGACGGUAGUGGGAAAAGAAGCACCGGACAACGACGGGACAGCGGCCGGGGUAAUAAGAGGAAGAGCAAACGGUUGCAC
rnacentral:rRNA from 1 species